rnacentral:rRNA from 1 species
UGAGGAAUAUUGGUCAAUGGGCGAGAGCCUGAACCAGCCAUGCCGCGUGCAGGAUGACGGCCCUAUGGGUUGUAAACUGCUUUUCUACGGGAAUAACCCCCCUUACGUGUAAGGGUCUGAAGGUACCGUAGGAAUAAGGAUCGGCUAACUCCGUGCCAGCAGCCGCGGUAAUACGGAGGAUCCAAGCGUUAUCCGGAUUUAUUGGGUUUAAAGGGUCCGUAGGCGGGGCAUUAAGUCAGUGGUGAAAUCCUGCGGCUCAACCGUAGAACUGCCAUUGAUACUGGUGCCCUUGAGUAUAGUUGAGGUGGGCGGAACAAGUCAUGUAGCGGUGAAAUGCAUAGAUAUGACUUAGAACACCUAUUGCGAAGGCAGCUCACUAAGCUAUAACUGACGCUGAGGGACGAAAGCGUGGGGAGCGAACAGG